rnacentral:snRNA from 1 species
AUGUUCGCUUUGGCAACACAUAUACUAAAAUUGGAACAAUACAGAGAAGAUUAGCAUGGCCCUGAGGGAGGAAGACAUGUAAAUUAGCGAAGUGUUCCAUACUUUG